CCCGCGCGCGCGGUCCCCACUAGUUUUCUCGCGUUUUCUUUCGUUCGUGGUUCCGCGUGUGAUUUCUCACCGUUAACUGUGCAUUUUCCAGCCAUUUUCUGGCCGUUGCAAACCCUUUACCUGCAUUACCAUAGGUUUUGCGAGAGGUGUUGGCCUAUAACUGCGCAUUUUCCAGCCGUUUUCCAGUGAUUUGCAAGUCAUUUCCAAGCCUCCUGCACCAGCUUAUGUAUGCAGUUGCCGUUUCCGCCUGGUGCCACUAUAAUUGCAUUUUUGCACUGCAGUCCGAGCAUCAGCAUUACGGUCAGGAAGUUUUCCCAGGACACUAGUGCCAGUGCCAGCCACAAAAGCAUGUGGGGCUGAGUUUGAAAGUGACGACGAGGAAGUGCCAAAGAAACCCCGACAAAGCUAUUGAAAAUACUGCAAGGGAUCAAAAAGAAAAUUAGAACAAGUUAUCCUAAUAUUAAAUAAUAUGCAACAUAUCAA